GAUGUAUUUGGAUAUAUAUUGUACUGUUAUUAAACACUUUAAUUAUGUAUGUUAUACUCUUAUUAAGCACUUUAAUUUUGUAGUGCUAUUAAGCACUUUAUUUAAAUAUGUUAAUUUGACUGUAUUGUGAUUUUGUGUUCUCAUAUUUGGAUGUAAUUAUAUCAGUUUGUAUGCUAGGUAUCCUUAAUAUGUAUUAUAGUCAUAUAAGUUAGGGACCACCUUGCACAUUUUUAAAACAAAAGGAGGACCAAAUUUAACAUUUUUAAAAUAAAAGGGGGAUUAAAACGAACUUUAUUGCACGGACUCAUAUUGUUCAUCCAUAUUACAACACCAGCUGAUAUUACAUGAACAAAACAUGAAGUUAAACACCUAAAUCAUUACUUGAACAAAACAUACAUUGCACACCUAACAUCAAGCUAAACACAUCCACAAUAAGAGCAAACACAACUCCAACUAAGAACUUUAUCCUUCUUUGCAACUCUUUAACAUCAUUUUCGAGAUCACAUAUCUUGUUGCUUUGCCUCAGGCUUGUACCAUCUUUAUCAUCAAUGUUGUCUUCAGAACACCACUUGAAAAAAUUACAUGACAUCCCAAUUGAAAAUCCACCCUAUUAUUCACCAAGAACACAAAAAUGUAUUAACACAUAAUAUCCAAUACACAUAAAAGUGACUACGGUAUUCAAAACACCUUGUAAUGACGAUAUCCCCAAAAUUUCCUCCCUGC
rnacentral:lncRNA from 1 species